GCAGAUGUAGUGUAGCGGUAACACGCCUCCUUCCCAAGGAGGAAACCGCGGGUUCGAGUCCCGUCAUCUGCU
rfam:Microgenomates (Woesebacteria) bacterium GW2011_GWB1_38_5b TS96_C0013, whole genome shotgun sequence.